GUGCACUUGAGUAUAACAAUGGCUGAGUGAGGCCGGUAUAAAUGUCUAUUCUGCACAAGGUAUAGACAAGUCUGGUGGGAUCCAUGCCUGGUUCAUUUUAAUAAACAUGAGCUUGUCCACGUUAGCUGUGGACAGGCGGCUGCGCUUGUCUGUGAUAACGCCCCCUGUCAUGCUAAACACACAUUCAGACAAUACAAGGCAUAAAGGGCAAGCUCAGGCCAUGUGCCCAAUUUGGAGACCCAGAAGCUGACUGGGGCAGACCCAUCAGUUAGUACGUGUAGGCGUAUGCACACAUACUGUUCCACCAUGUUGCUGAAAUGCUGCCUCCUGCUAAGACGUUCCAUAUCAGCUGGUGGUGCUGGUUGUUGUGGCGUGCUGAUAAAGCUUUUCCACAUUUUGGCCAUGCUAACCCUGCCUUCUGAGGUGCUGGCGGUGCCCCAGCUGCAUUGGCGACCUCCUCCUCUGCCUUCGCUUUGUGCUCAGUUGGGAAUGCCCCCAGUGUCAGUUGGGAAUGCCCUCAGCAGCGCGUCUACCAGCGUGCACUUGUAGUUGCGCAUCUUCCGAUCACGCUCCAGUGAGGGAAUAAAGGAUGG